UUCCCGGAUAUGACUCCUCAUCGCAUGGUGGGGGGUGAGAAAGCUUUUGUGGUUUUGGAUGGACUCGCGGCCUAUCAGCUUGUUGGUGAGGUAAUGGCUCACCAAGGCGACGACGGGUAGCCGGCCUGAGAGGGUGACCGGCCACACUGGGACUGAGACACGGCCCAGACUCCUACGGGAGGCAGCAGUGGGGAAUAUUGCACAAUGGGCGGAAGCCUGAUGCAGCGACGCCGCGUGAGGGAUGACGGCCUUCGGGUUGUAAACCUCUUUCAGUAGGGAAGAAGCGAAAGUGACGGUACCUGCAGAAGAAGCGCCGGCUAACUACGUGCCAGCAGCCGCGGUAAUACGUAGGGCGCAAGCGUUAUCCGGAAUUAUUGGGCGUAAAGAGCUCGUAGGCGGUUUGUCGCGUCUGCCGUGAAAGUCCGGGGCUCAACUCCGGAUCUGCGGUGGGUACGGGCAGACUAGAGUGAUGUAGGGGAGACUGGAAUUCCUGGUGUAGCGGUGAAAUGCGCAGAUAUCAGGAGGAACACCGAUGGCGAAGGCAGGUCUCUGGGCAUUAACUGACGCUGAGGAGCGAAAGCAUGGGGAGCGAACAGGAUUAGAUACCCUGGUAGUCCAUGCCGUAACGUUGGGCACUAGGUGUGGGGGACAUUCCACGUUUUCCGCGCCGUAGCUAACGCAU
rnacentral:rRNA from 1 species